rnacentral:rRNA from 1 species
UUUGUAUAAUGGGUCAGCGACUUAUAUUCAGUGGCAAGGUUAACCAUCUAGGGGAGCCGUAGGGAAACCGAGUCUUAACUGGGCGUUCAGUCUCUGGAUAUAGACCCGAAACCAGGUGAUCUAGCCAUGGGCAGGUUGAAGGUUGAGUAACAUCAACUGGAGGACCGAACCGACUAAUGUUGAAAAAUUAGCGGAUGACUUGUGGCUAGGGGUGAAAGGCCAAUCAAACCUGGAGAUAGCUGGUUCUCCCCGAAAGCUAUUUAGGUAGCGCCUCGGACGAAUACUACUGGGGGUAGAGCACUGUUAAGGCUAGGGGGUCAUCCCGACUUACCAACCCUUUGCAAACUCCGAAUACCAGUAAGUACUAUCCGGGAGACACACGGCGGGUGCUAACGUCCGUCGUGGAGAGGGAAACAACCCAGACCGCCAGCUAAGGUCCCAAAUUACUACUAAGUGGGAAACGAUGUGGGAAGGCUCAGACAGCCAGGAUGUUGGCUUAGAAGCAGCCAUCAUUUAAAGAAAGCGUAAUAGCUCACUGGUCGAGUCGGCCUGCGCGGAAGAUGUAACGGGGCUAAGUAGUAAACCGAAGCUGCGGCAA